rnacentral:rRNA from 1 species
AACGAACGCUGGCGGCAGGCCUAACACAUGCAAGUCGAGCGCUACCUUCGGGUGGAGCGGCGGACGGGUUAGUAAUGCGUAGGAACAUGCCCAUUGGUGGGGGAUAGCCCAGAGAAAUUUGGAUUAAUACCGCAUACGCCCUACGGGGGAAAGCGGGGGACUCUUCGGAGCCUCGCGCUGAUGGAUUGGCCUACGUCUGAUUAGCUUGUUGGUGGGGUAAUGGCCUACCAAGGCAACGAUCAGUAGCUGGUCUGAGAGGAUGAUCAGCCACACUGGGACUGAGACACGGCCCAG